UACGGGGGGGGCAAGCGUUGUUCGGAAUUACUGGGCGUAAAGGGCUCGUAGGCGGCCAACUAAGUCGGACGUGAAAUCCCUCGGCUUAACCGGGGAACUGCGUCUGAUACUGGAUGGCUUGAGUUUGGGAGAGGGAUGCGGAAUUCCUGGUGUAGCGGUGAAAUGCGCAGAUAUCAGGAGGAACACCGGUGGCGAAGGCGGGUCUCUGGGCCGAUACUGACGCUGAGGCACGAAAGCGUGGGGAGCAAACAGG
rnacentral:rRNA from 1 species